AAUAGAUACCCGGGUAGUCCACGCCGUAAACGUUGGGAACUAGGUGUGGGUCUCAUUCCACGAGAUCCGUGCCGCAGCUAACGCAUUAAGUUCCCCGCCUGGGGAGUACGGCCGCAAGGCUAAAACUCAAAGGAAUUGACGGGGGCCCGCACAAGCGGCGGAGCAUGUGGAUUAAUUCGAUGCAACGCGAAGAACCUUACCAAGGCUUGACAUAUACCGGAAACACCUAGAGAUGGGUGCCCCGCAAGGUCGGUAUACAGGUGGUGCAUGGUUGUCGUCAGCUCGUGUCGUGAGAUGUUGGGUUAAGUCCCGCAACGAGCGCAACCCUCGUUCUAUGUUGCCAGCGCGUUAUGGCGGGGACUCAUAGAAGACUGCCGGGGUCAACUCGGAGGAAGGUGGGGAUGACGUCAAAUCAUCAUGCCCCUUAUGUCUUGGGCUUCACACAUGCUACAAUGGCCGGUACAAAGGGCUGCGAAAUCGCGAGAUGGAGCGAAUCCCAAAAAACCGGUCUCAGUUCGGAUUGGGGUCUGCAACUCGACCCC
rnacentral:rRNA from 1 species